rnacentral:rRNA from 1 species
GGUUAAGCGACUAAGCGUACACGGUGGAUGCCCUGGCAGUCAGAGGCGAUGAAGGACGUGCUAAUCUGCGAUAAGCGUCGGUAAGGUGAUAUGAACCGUUAUAACCGGCGAUUUCCGAAUGGGGAAACCCAGUGUGAUUCGUCACACUAUCAUUAACUGAAUCCAUAGGUUAAUGAGGCGAACCGGGGGAACUGAAACAUCUAAGUACCCCGAGGAAAAGAAAUCAACCGAGAUUCCCCCAGUAGCGGCGAGCGAACGGGGAGCAGCCCAGAGCCUGAAUCAGUGUGUGUGUUAGUGGAAGCGUCUGGAAAGGCGCGCGAUACAGGGUGACAGCCCCGUACACAAAAAUGCACAUACUGUGAGCUCGAUGAGUAGGGCGGGACACGUGGUAUCCUGUCUGAAUAUGGGGGGACCAUCCUCCAAGGCUAAAUACUCCUGACUGACCGAUAGUGAACCAGUACCGUGAGGGAAAGGCGAAAAGAACCCCGGCGAGGGGAGUGAAAAAGAACCUGAAACCGUGUACGUACAAGCAGUGGGAGCCUCUUAAUGGGGUGACUGCGUACCUUUUGUAUAAUGGGUCAGCGACUUAUAUUCUGUAGCAAGGUUAACCGAAUAGGGGAGCCGAAGGGAAACCGAGUCUUAACUGGGCGUUAAGUUGCAGGGUAUAGACCCGAAACCCGGUGAUCUAGCCAUGGGCAGGUUGAAGGUUGGGUAACACUAACUGGAGGACCGAACCGACUAAUGUUGAAAAAUUAGCGGAUGACUUGUGGCUGGGGGUGAAAGGCCAAUCAAACCGGGAGAUAGCUGGUUCUCCCCGAAAGCUAUUUAGGUAGCGCCUCGUGAAUUCAUCUCCGGGGGUAGAGCACUGUUUCGGCAAGGGGGUCAUCCCGACUUACCAACCCGAUGCAAACUGCGAAUACCGGAGAAUGUUAUCACGGGAGACACACGGCGGGUGCUAACGUCCGUCGUGAAGAGGGAAACAACCCAGACCGCCAGCUAAGGUCCCAAAGUCAUGGUUAAGUGGGAAACGAUGUGGGAAGGCCCAGACAGCCAGGAUGUUGGCUUAGAAGCAGCCAUCAUUUAAAGAAAGCGUAAUAGCUCACUGGUCGAGUCGGCCUGCGCGGAAGAUGUAACGGGGCUAAACCAUGCACCGAAGCUGCGGCAGCGACACUAUGUGUUGUUGGGUAGGGGAGCGUUCUGUAAGCCUGUGAAGGUGUACUGUGAGGUAUGCUGGAGGUAUCAGAAGUGCGAAUGCUGACAUAAGUAACGAUAAAGCGGGUGAAAAGCCCGCUCGCCGGAAGACCAAGGGUUCCUGUCCAACGUUAAUCGGGGCAGGGUGAGUCGACCCCUAAGGCGAGGCCGAAAGGCGUAGUCGAUGGGAAACAGGUUAAUAUUCCUGUACUUGGUGUUACUGCGAAGGGGGGACGGAGAAGGCUAUGUUGGCCGGGCGACGGUUGUCCCGGUUUAAGCGUGUAGGCUGGUUUUCCAGGCAAAUCCGGAAAAUCAAGGCUGAGGCGUGAUGACGAGGCACUACGGUGCUGAAGCAACAAAUGCCCUGCUUCCAGGAAAAGCCUCUAAGCAUCAGGUAACNNNNNNNNNNNNNNNNNNUGGAGCUGAAAUCAGUCGAAGAUACCAGCUGGCUGCAACUGUUUAUUAAAAACACAGCACUGUGCAAACACGAAAGUGGACGUAUACGGUGUGACGCCUGCCCGGUGCCGGAAGGUUAAUUGAUGGGGUUAGCGGUAACGCGAAGCUCUUGAUCGAAGCCCCGGUAAACGGCGGCCGUAACUAUAACGGUCCUAAGGUAGCGAAAUUCCUUGUCGGGUAAGUUCCGACCUGCACGAAUGGCGUAAUGAUGGCCAGGCUGUCUCCACCCGAGACUCAGUGAAAUUGAACUCGCUGUGAAGAUGCAGUGUACCCGCGGCAAGACGGAAAGACCCCGUGAACCUUUACUAUAGCUUGACACUGAACAUUGAGCCUUGAUGUGUAGGAUAGGUGGGAGGCUUUGAAGUGUGGACGCCAGUCUGCAUGGAGCCGGCCUUGAAAUACCACCCUUUAAUGUUUGAUGUUCUAACGUUGGCCCCUGAUCGGGGUUGCGGACAGUGUCUGGUGGGUAGUUUGACUGGGGCGGUCUCCUCCUAAAGAGUAACGGAGGAGCACGAAGGUUGGCUAAUCCUGGUCGGACAUCAGGAGGUUAGUGCAAUGGCAUAAGCCAGCUUGACUGCGAGCGUGACGGCGCGAGCAGGUGCGAAAGCAGGUCAUAGUGAUCCGGUGGUUCUGAAUGGAAGGGCCAUCGCUCAACGGAUAAAAGGUACUCCGGGGAUAACAGGCUGAUACCGCCCAAGAGUUCAUAUCGACGGCGGUGUUUGGCACCUCGAUGUCGGCUCAUCACAUCCUGGGGCUGAAGUAGGUCCCAAGGGUAUGGCUGUUCGCCAUUUAAAGUGGUACGCGAGCUGGGUUUAGAACGUCGUGAGACAGUUCGGUCCCUAUCUGCCGUGGGCGCUGGAGAACUGAGGGGGGCUGCUCCUAGUACGAGAGGACCGGAGUGGACGCAUCACUGGUGUUCGGGUUGUCAUGCCAAUGGCACUGCCCGGUAGCUAAAUGCGGAAGAGAUAAGUGCUGAAAGCAUCUAAGCACGAAACUUGCCCCGAGAUGAGUUCUCCCUGACUCCUUGAG